UAGGGAAUCUUCCACAAUGGACGAAAGUCUGAUGGAGCAACGCCGCGUGAGUGAAGAAGGUUUUCGGAUCGUAAAGCUCUGUUGUUGGUGAAGAAGGAUAGAGGCAGUAACUGGUCUUUAUUUGACGUAAUCAACCAGAAAGUCACGGCUAACUACGUGCCAA
rnacentral:rRNA from 1 species